rnacentral:rRNA from 1 species
GUACACUCCUACGGGAGGCAGCAGUGGGGAAUAUUGGACAAUGGGCGCAAGCCUGAUCCAGCCAUGCCGCGUGAGUGAUGAAGGCCCUAGGGUUGUAAAGCUCUUUCACCGGUGAAGAUAAUGACGGUAACCGGAGAAGAAGCCCCGGCUAACUUCGUGCCAGCAGCCGCGGUAAUACGAAGGGGGCUAGCGUUGUUCGGAUUUACUGGGCGUAAAGCGCACGUAGGCGGACUAUUAAGUCAGGGGUGAAAUCCCGGGGCUCAACCCCGGAACUGCCUUUGAUACUGGUAGUCUUGAGUUCGAGAGAGGUGAGUGGAAUUCCGAGUGUAGAGGUGAAAUUCGUAGAUAUUCUGAGGAACACCAGUGGCGAAGGCGGCUCACUGGCUCGAUACUGACGCUGAGGUGCGAAAGCGUGGGGAGCAAACAGGAUUAGAUACCCGGGUAGUCCC